GACGAACGCUGGCGGCGUGCCUAAUACAUGCAAGUAGAACGCUGAAGGAGGAGCUUGCUCUUCUGGAUGAGUUGCGAACGGGUGAGUAACGCGUAGGUAACCUGCCUGGUAGCGGGGGAUAACUAUUGGAAACGAUAGCUAAUACCGCAUAACAGUAGAUGUUGCAUGACAUUUGCUUAAAAGGUGCAAUUGCAUCACUACCAGAUGGACCUGCGUUGUAUUAGCUAGUUGGUGGGGUAACGGCUCACCAAGGCGACGAUACAUAGCCGACCUGAGAGGGUGAUCGGCCACACUGGGACUGAGACACGGCCCAGACUCCUACGGGAGGCAGCAGUAGGGAAUCUUCGGCAAUGGACGGAAGUCUGACCGAGCAACGCCGCGGGAGUGAAGAAGGGUUUCGGAUCGUAAAGCUCUGUUGCAAGAGAAGAACGAGUGUGAGAGUGGAAAGUUCACACUGUGACGGUAUCUUACCAGAAAGGGACGGCUAACUACGUG
rnacentral:rRNA from 1 species